GCACAGCCCGCUGCGUCUUCGAUCUGCGCACAACGCGGGACGAAGACGCGCGCGCGGGGGCCCGGGGAGGCCGUAGGGUUUGGUUCCCCACCAGCAAGAUGAAGUAACGAUGCGAAACUGAUCACAUCGCUGAAGAGUUGACAUGAGAGAAUGUGCAUCAGCAUCCAGCUCAGGUCCCUGCCUGUGGAAGGAGAGAUUGUGGGAAAACAAAAUGACAGAGAGGCGUGGUAUUGCUCCUAUAACUUGGAACUGGAGAGGAGGCAAGAUGCUGGCAUAGCUGUUGAACUGAGAGCCUGCUAUGCCAGUAUAUUGCCAUCUUUCCUGUCUGACAGCAACUUGGCCACCUCCAUGCUGCUUCUCCGUAUCUUGCUACAACCAAUACACAACAUGUAGGGCUUUCGUGACGUGGUCUGCCCUACCCCGACUUCUCUCCAGUCAUCUACCAAAUCACUUGCUCCAUUCUAUCCACACUGGCCUUUGGGGGCGGUUCUGAGACGUACCACGGAUGGUCCUGCCUCUUCACUCAUCUUUCUUUGUUUCAUCAUUUGGCUGCCAGUGAAGACAUCGUGUUCUUGGAAAACUCUUUCAUAGUGGCCUUGUCUAUAAAAGCUUCCAUGUGCCCAGCCACUGUUCAUCUCAUGACCCUGCUCUGUCUUUUCAAAAAUAUUGGUCUUUAUCUGAACAUGUUUGCUUGCUGCCUUAUUUCCUGUACCGGACUGUGAGUCCUUUAAGGGAGACCAGUCUUGACGUGCUUAUUCACUGUAUCCCUAGAGCCUGACACUUGUAAGUCCUCAAUUCGUGUUUUUGAAACUCUACCCUGAACUUAUUGUGCAACAGAGGUGUCAAAUAAUUAGAUCUUAUCAUGCCAUGAAGGAUUCUGACGAAACACUGGUUUAUAAGUAACAAAGCAUAAAUAAGUAAUAUUGAUUUCUAGGCCUGCAACCCAGCA